rnacentral:tRNA from 2 species
GUGUUCUUAGCUUAAUUGGAUAGAGCGCCGAGCUUCGAACUCGGAGGUUAUUAGUUCGAGUCUAAUAGAGCAUU